GACACAGCUCUGAAACAAGGGGUGACUCAAUUUGUGUUUCCAUCAAAAAGUUAGUCUUUUUCUACCUCUACAAUACAUCUCCCCCAUCUUUAUGAUAUCCGAUUGUAACCCAUACGAAAAUCCUCUUAUAUAAAGUUUAUCUUAACCGGAGGAACAUUCCAUCUCAAAUACUCAACGAUUCCUCUACCAGGCGCAGCUUAUAACAUCUAUCGAAAAUUUCUGCCUGUGAUGCUCCAGUUACUCGAACCGGCGUUCGCAACUCACCUUUCGACUCUCUCCGCCUUGGUCGUACAAAAAAAUGAUGAAUUCAUAGGAAUCAUGCUUCUCUUCCUUGAUGAAAAGGCAAAGCCAUCUCUGAUCUAUCAUGACUUAUCUAUUACAACUGGCUUUAAGGGAUAAGAUUGUUAGGAUUGAAUUGUCGCCUCAUCCGUUUCCUUAAAAAGAGAUAGAUAUACAUAUACUGUUUUGGAAAGGAAAGAGAUGGGUUCUAUAAUCAGUGGGAACAAAGUGAAAGAAGAAGAGAUGGAGGUGGUGAUGAACAAAACCAAAGAGAUCGUCUCCGAGUAACCAGUCAGGUCUUCUUACUCAUUGAAAGUUCCUAUCUUUUUACCUGAUCACCUAUCUGUGAUGCUCCCUUUAUAGAUUGUGUAUUAUUAUGUCUAUAUCUCUGAUGUCUUUGGUUGAUUAAAAGCUUCUUUUGCAGCAAAACUUACUGUGGUUAUAGUCACGCUUUAAAGUGCUUGAGCUCGAUAAGAAACUAAAAUCUCUGUCAUUAAACCUGGAUUAUAUGGUCCCAUGCUAACUUUAAAGUUUUGGCAGGUGAUGGAGGUUCCGUGUUGAGACGAUAACGCAACUUUUGUUGUCUUCAACAAUGAGAUUACAAACUAACCAAGGAAAAUGCAUAUGACCUUUCUCUACAAGAGAUUCCUAGCGGUGUUUCCCAGGAUUUACCAAAACGAUUCCAGGAGCUUGAGGGCAAGGACUUUUGUCUUCCAUAUACAUGUCACUCCGUACAAUCACAACCAGCAGAAUCAUACCUUCACCGUCUACGCAAUCAGAGAAAAUGUCUUCUUUGGCACUCAGCCACAUGUAUGGUAAUCUAAGUUUCAAAGUACUCCAGAUAUUUGUUUUCCCACUGACUUGCAUCAACCAAGCUACAAGAUGUGACAUCGGAGCUGGACUGCUUACAACAACUUGUAGCCACCAAGCUAAUGCGUCAAAAAAAAAGAAUGGGGAUGAUGAAUCAAAUCCAGCGGGCUUGGAAGAGGAAGGAAACAGCUGCUCCGUUUGUGAUUCUUGCAGAUUACUUUCCCGUCACUCUACUUUCAGUUAUUGUCAUUUAAAAAAACUAAGUAGGGGUUAUUGGUUGUUGUAUUUUAAUGGAUUUGAAAAUCCGAACUAAAUCCAGUGUUAUUGGUUGUAUGAUUUUCAAAUCUGUAUUAAAAUCAUGUGUUAGUGGUUUAAUGAUUUAUAAAUUCUGUAUCAAA